rnacentral:lncRNA from 1 species
CUGCUAGACAAAUUCUAAAAGAGCUGUAACACUCAUAGAUUUGUACAGUUAUUAACAGGGCAGUUGUCCAAUAGAGGGUGGUAGUAUCUUGAAGGAAAAGGGAUGCCUUUUGGAAAUUUGCUUUAAGCCUCUGUAUGUUGACUGGCUACAGGGCUGAGCCCCAUUCACUCAACAUCCCCCUGUCCUGAAGUCAUUGCUUCCCAACCUAUUCCCUGUCACGGUACCUAGAAAAUGAUGCCUUUUUUUUUUCUCUUUUCUUUUUCAGAUAGAGUCUUCCUCUGUCGCCUAGGCUGGAGUGCAGUGGCGCGAUCUCGGCGCACCGCAACCUCUGCCUCCCGGGUUCAAGCGAAUUCUCCUGCCUCAGCCUCCGGAGUAGCUGGGAUUACAGAUGUGCUCCACCAUGCCCGGCUAAUUUUUGUAUUUUUAGUAGAGAUGGGGGGGUUUCACCAUGUUGGCCAGGCUGGUCUCGAACUCCUGACCUUGUGAUCCACUAGCUUCGGCCUCCCGAAGUUCUGGGAUUACAGGCAUGAGCCACCACACCCGGAUGAAUUAUGCCAUUUUUAAGGCAAAGGUCUCCGUAACUAUUAAUUUCUCUGUCCUUCUAAUCUGUAUUCCCUGAGAAAUUAAUUGGGCUGGCAAGUCAAAGCCCUGAACCCCAGCUGCAGCUUUCUGAGCUUGUUCUGUCCAUCUGUGAAGUAAGGCAAUGAGAAGUGAGUCGGGGAACGGAACCCACGAUGCGUCAGAGGAGUGUUCCAGUUGCACACACACUCCCCAGCCACCUGGCAGCUCAGUCUAUAAUCUGGAGGCUUCCACAUCUACAGCUCCAUACAAAUGAACCUCUGGUUCUAAAGAAGUUUCUUCCUUGUCUGGUUCUCACUUUCUAAACCUCAGUCUCUGGAGAGAAAAGGAGUCCUGGAGGAUGAACAAGGCGAGCUUGGAGUAAUUUGGAAAAGCUAAUGUUGUAGGACAGAAGCAAAGCCUGCAAGUCACAGCCUAGGUUCCCUGAGUGAUGUUUUCAGCAGUAAACUGCAACUUCAAAGCUAAGAGCCAUCCUAAUAAUUUGCCAUAAAAGGUAGCUUGUUAAAAAUGAGUCAAAAAGGCCGGGUGCAGUGACUCACGCCUGUAAUCCCAGCGCUUUGGGAAGCUGAGGCGGGCGGAUCACAAGGUCAGGAGGUCGAGACCAUCCUGGUUAACACGGUGAAACCCCGUGUCUACUAAAAAUACAAAAAAUUAGCUGGGCGUGGUGGCGGGCAGCUGUAGUCCCAGCUACUUGGGAGGCUGAGGCAGGAGAAUGGCGUGAACCCGGGAGGCAGAGCUUGCAGUGAGCCGAGAUUGCGCCACUGCACUCCAGUCUGGGUGACAGAGCAAGACUA